GCCUACGGGGGGCAGCAGUGAGGAAUAUUGGUCAAUGGUCGGGAGACUGAACCAGCCAAGCCGCGUGAGGGAUGAAGGUACAGAGUAUCGUAAACCUCUUUUGUCAGGGAACAAAGGCGGGGACGUGUCCCCGGAUGAAUGUAUCUGAAGAAAAAGCAUCGGCUAACUCCGUGCCAGCAGCCGCGGUAAUACGGAGGAUGCGAGCGUUAUCCGGAUUUAUUGGGUUUAAAGGGUGCGCAGGCGGUCUGUUAAGUCAGCGGUCAAAGCCCGGGGCUCAACCCCGGCCCGCCGUUGAAACUGGCAGG
rnacentral:rRNA from 1 species